UACAGAGGUCUCAAGCGUUGUUCGGAUUCAUUGGGCGUAAAGGGCGCGUAGGCUGCGGGGCAAGUCGGGUGUGAAAUCUCAGAGCUCAACUCUGAAACUGCACUCGAUACUGCUUUGCUUGAGGACUGGAGAGGAGAUUGGAAUUCACGGUGUAGCAGUGAAAUGCGUAGAGAUCAUGAGGAAGACCAGUGGCGAAGGCGGGUCUCUGGACAGUUCCUGACGCUGAGACACGAAGGCGAGGGGAGCAAACGGG
rnacentral:rRNA from 1 species